GGAGGUAGUGUAGGUGGUUGCGGACUGGCCUAGGUCAGUCUGAGGAAAGUCCGGGCUCCCGAAAGACCAGACUUGCUGGGUAACGCCCAGUGCGGGCGACCGUGAGGAGAGUGCCACAGAAACAUACCGCCGAUGGCCCUCAGGAAUUUUCUAAGGGCACAGGUAAGGGUGCAAGGGUGCGGUAAGAGCGCACCAGCAGCAUCGAGAGGUGCUGGCUCGGUAAACCCCGGUUGGGUGCAAGGUCAAGGGGCAAGGUUGGUCUUUUUCCGGCCCUGUUGUAAGUACCGCAAGAGGCGUUUGGUAACAAGCGUCCCAGAUAGAUAACCGCCCCUCCGGCAACGGAGGAACAGAACCCGGCUUAUGUCUACCUCCUUCC
rnacentral:RNase_P_RNA from 1 species